GAUUAAGAGCCAGAUAAAGAGAGAGGUGAGCCAGCACACGUCACUGUACCUCUCUACUCUGACUGGCUGCCACUGUGUACUUCCCAUAAUGCUUCAUGGAAGUCUGGGGAAGCCCCCACGCGAUCUAGGAUAUCUCUAUCAUAGACUGUAUGAAUUGCUACCAUAAGUCAUUUUUUUUUUUAACAAAAUUUUUUUUUUUUUCAUUUUUCCCUUCAGGGGAAUUUUUUUUAUACAUUUUUUGAGACAACACAAAUCUUGAUCAUAUUUGUAAUGUUCUAUUAUGAAUCCCCUAUUUAAAGGCAAAAAAUCUUAAAAAGCUCAGUGGCCCUAUACAUUUAAGGGAAAUUCUGUAGUCAACCUUCUGUGACAUACCAAGUUUGGUAGAAAUAGAAAAAUGACCUGAGAGGAGCAGGCCAAAAAAAACAACAAAACAAAACAAAACAAAAACAAACAGAAAGACGUGACUUCAAUCCCAGUGGUAAUUGGCAAAUUUGACCUUAGCUGGGCAAAUCCAGAACCCACCUCCAUUUGUUAGAGUGAAAAACUUAAAUGGUGACUACUGACCUAGUGUUUGAGCUUCUGUAAAUUUGAUUUUACCUGAUCGACACUGGAGUGAAAAUAAAAAUUUUGACCUUAAUUGCUUUGACAUUUGCCAAAAACAAACCCUUUAACAGCAGUUCCUGCGUUGACAGUCAUCUAGUCAACACAUUUGGUGGAAAUUGGCAGAAGACGUGAGAGGAGCAGGGUCACAAACUGACCAACAAACAUUUUCACCUUUGACCACCAAAACAGACCAUUUAAGGGCAAUUUUGGGGUCACCCUUCAUGCACAGUUUGUUGGGAAUCCAUAAAAUGACUUUGGAGAAGCAGGGGAACAAAGUCCUGUACUUAAAAUUCAGGGGUGUGCUGUAACGCUCAGCACGAGCGCGGCGACACUUUCAGAGGAAACCGCCUGCCGUUUCGGCGUUAGUAUCUCCAAAAAGGUGUGCGCCCCCUGCUGUGCUUAAUAAGGAUAAAGAUGGAGUCCCACCUGUCCAGCUGUGUGAAAUACACGCUCGGCUGCUUGUAAAAGAAACCAGCAUGGAGAUAAUACUGUCAUCAUUACCGCGGCUACAUUCCUGGAUUGUCUGACACUUUACUGGCAACCCGUAAAAACAUGGCUUAGAAAUGUGAAGACACUUCUCAUCUAUUUCGCUCUCUGAAUUUUCAUGGCACUUAAUCCACAUUGUCCCAUUCUACCCAGUUGGAAAUGGGAAAUAACCUGCGAUGAACUUGCAUCCCAUCUGCUUAACACGAAGUAUUGCAGGAUAAGGACCAACACCAGUGGGCAUCAGGGCCUGUACAGGUCUGACUUAUGCCCAAUCACAAUACUCUCCUAUUGCCCAACCACUUCCCCUUUCUCUUCAUUUUGCACAUCCAUGGUAGACGGCUCUGAUCCAUGUGAACUGAACUACCAACCUAUAGAUUCAAUCAGGCGUGUAUGGUGGGUUGUCAAAAUUUUAGCAGCAACAAUGUAAAGCACUGACUUGUGAGCUGGCGGAGUAUCGUUAUGAAAAAAUACAUACAGCUGCAUCAACAAGUUGACUUCUGUGUCUAUGAUUUUAUCAUUUGGACAGGACUCGCACUGCCAUCAUUGAGUCCAUCAUCUCCUCCUCCAUCACCGUCUGGAACGCUGCUGUCACUGCUAAGGACAAGAGCAGACUGCAGUGUAUCAUCCACGCAGCAGAGAAUGUGAUUGAUCACAAUCUGCCAUCCCUACAGGACCUGUACACCUCCGGGGGGCCCUGAGGUGCUCAAGGAAGAUAAUGGCCAAUCCCUCUCACCCAGGACACAAACUUUUUGUUACCCUCCCCUCUGGCAGACGGCUGAGGUCCAUCAGGACUAAAACAUCAAGACACAAACAGCUUAUUUCUGUCUGCAGCCAGACUUAUAAAUAAUGCCAGAGAUCCCCAUUUACCCUGCUCCCCUCCCCCGACUCCCAACAAAGUCCAGACUGAUCAUUCCUGCUCUGUUCAUCUGCAUGCCUGCACAGCCCCAUUCCACUAUAUCUAUUUCACAGUAAACUUUGCUUUGCCCAUUUGUCUAUUUGGCUCAUUUACUUCUUACAGAAGUAUUUCUUUUAGUCCUUUUCUUUUUAUUGUUGUUUAUGUACCUAUUACUUCUUACAGACGGGUCAUUCCAUCUCAAGUCACCCAGAGGUUCCCAGGUCAACCCUCAGUUCUGUUCUGUCAGUUUGAUAUGUUAUUCCUUUUAGAAAAUUAUGCUGAAAUGCUAAAUAUUAGGUCUGUAUUUUGCAAACAUUUGAAGUUACAGCCUUUGGAAAUUUUUGUGAAUUUUUCACAUAUCGUGAAAACUGUGUUUUCUACAACUUAAUAAUAAUGAGCUCCCUAUAUGCCUCACAGCUUUGAAACUGCUCAUGCCAGGCUAACCUUUGGUGUAGAGUUGGGAAAUUGUGGCAAUUGUGGUUUAUCUAUUGUGAGCUGCCUUCCACAAAGGCCUCAAUAUGGUAGAAAACCUGAAAUUCUACAUGUUCUUCUUAUUUUUGAUGAGUUCAAAAUCAAAGAAUUAUACCAGCUAUGGCUAUAGAACUUUUUGUAUGAUGGUUUGUGAUAUAAAGGAACAUAUCUACACAUUUAAAUUAUAUACCAGGUUGUUUUAGCAAAAGUUAUAGUUGUCAGAAAAAUGCUCAUUUUUAAAAAAGUGUUGAAAUAUACUGAUUUUCAUCACCCCAGAUGCCAAUGUGGACAGUUGACUAUUAUAUUCAUAUUUUUACCAUAUAUUCUUAUACACGCAACAAAAAUAUAAACGCAACACUUUUGGUUUUGCUCCCAUUUUGUAUGAGAUGAACUCAAAGAUCUAAAACUUUUUCC